AGUGAGUUUUAUUCUUGUUUAUUUAUUUAUUAUGAAAAAGUAUUAUAUGUAAAUUGUUGUAAAAUAUUUUUUCUAAAUGAAAUUUAUUUUUUUUUUGUAGCAGUAAUAAAUUUUAUUAAUUAAGGAGAUUUUGAUUUAGUUAUUUUCAUUAAAUAUUGAUUAAAUAUGUGCCAGCAAUCGCGGUUAUACAUAAUAUAUAAAUAAAUAUUUUUAGUUAAUUAGUUAUUAUAAAUUAUUAAUUUAUUUAAGUUAUUUUUAGGUGAAAUUUAAUUAUUUUUUUUUAAAUUACAAAAUUUGAGUAAGAGGCUAUGAAAUUCAAUUUAAUUAAACUAGGAUUAGAUACCCUAUUAUUUUGAAUUUAAAUUUAUUUAACUUGAGUAGUAUUAGUUAUAAUCUUGAAACUUAAAGAAUUUGGCGGUAUCUUAGUCUAUUUAGAGGAAUCUGUCCCAUUAUCGAUAAUCCACGUUGGACCUUACUUAAUUUAUUAAUAUGUAUACCGCCGUUUAAUUUGAAGAUUUUAAUAGAAUUAAUCUUCUUAAUAUUUUAAUUUAUAAUAUUUCAGGUCAAGGUGCAGUUUAUAAUUAAGUGGUGAUGGAUUACAAUACUUUUGUAUAUGAAUUUUAAUUUGAAAAAGUUAUAUGAAGGUGGAUUUAAUAGUAAUAUUAAUAAGAUUAUUAGUAUGAUUUUAGCUCUAAGAUGUGCACAUAUCGCCCGUCGCUCUCGUUAUUUAAGAUGAGAUAAGUCGUAACAAAGUAGGUGUACCGGAAGGUGUAGCUAGAUUGAU
rnacentral:ncRNA from 1 species